rnacentral:misc_RNA from 1 species
UAUCAAGGUAAAAUUUAAUAUCAUUUGUUUACAAUUAAGUUUAAUUUCUGAAUAUAAUAAAUAUUUCAUGUUGCUUAUACUAUGUGAGUAUAGUGGUGAUUAUAGCCUUUAGCUUUAAAGGACUGCAGUGCCUUUUCAUCAUAUGUUCAGGUUAUUUGCCAUUUUAUGCAUCUGAAAUUCUUAUCUCAUUUGAGUGUCAAAUUUUGAGCAUAAGUGUGGAGCUUAAAUUUUAAUUCCUAAUGUGAAUGAAGGAUUAGUAGAAGAAAUCAAGUCUUGAAAAUAAAAGCAAAGUGUCGCCAGCUGGCUGGAAUAGUGGGCAACCAUAUUGA